GUGAGGAAUAUUGGGCAAUGGGCGAAAGCCUGACCCAGCCACGCCGCGUGAGUGAUGAAGGCCUUCGGGUUGUAAAGCUCUGUGGGGAGGGAAGAAAAAGCGCAGGAGUAACUGCCUGUGUGUUGACGGUACCUCCUUAGCAAGCACCGGCUAACUCUGUGCCAGCAGCCGCGGUAAUACAGAGGGUGCAAACGUUGCUCGGAAUUACUGGGCGUAAAGCGCGUGUAGGCUGACAUGCAAGUCGGGUGUGAAAUCCCAGGGCUCAACCUUGGAACUGCACUCGAAACUGCACGUCUUGAGUACUGGAGAGGGAAGCGGAAUUCCGGGUGUAGAGGUGAAAUUCGUAGAUAUCCGGAGGAACACCAGUGGCGAAGGCGGCUUCCUGGACAGUAACUGACGCUGAGACGCGAAAGCGUGGGGAGCAAACAGGAUUAGAAACCCGAGUAGUCC
rnacentral:rRNA from 1 species